GACUAACGCUGGCGGCGUGCCUAACACAUGCAAGUCGAACGAGUUGUUUAAGGUAGCAAUAUUUUGAGCAGCAAGUGGCGAACGGGUGAGUAACACGUAGAUAAUCUGCCUUUCAGACGGGGAUAACUCAGGGAAACUUGUGCUAAUACCCGAUGAGACUACGAGGGGGGACCUUCGCAGCCAAAGGUGGGCGAAAGCUCACGCUGGAAGAUGAGUCUGCGUCCUAUCAGCUAGUUGGUGGGGUAAAGCCUACCAAGGCGAAGACGGGUAGCCGGCCUGAGAGGGUGAACGGCCACACUGGGACUGAGACACGGCCCAGACUCCUACGGGAGGCAGCAGUGAGGAAUUUUCCGCAAUGGGCGCAAGCCUGACGGAGCGACGCCGCGUGAGGGAUGACGGCCUUCGGGUUGUAAACCUCUUUUAUUAAGGAAAAGGACAAUCGUGCUAACACCACGGUGUUUGUAUGGUACUUAUUGAAUAAGCCCCGGCUAACUACGUGCCAGCAGCCGCGGUAAACGUACG
rnacentral:rRNA from 1 species